rnacentral:rRNA from 1 species
CGGUAAUACGUAGGUGGCAAGCGUUGUCCGGAAUGAUUGGGCGUAAAGGGAGCGCAGGUGGGAAAGUAAGUCCCUCUUAAAAGUUCGGGGCUCAACCCCGUGAUGGGAGAGAAACUACAUUUCUUGAGUGCAGGAGAGGAAAGCGGAAUUCCUAGUGUAGCGGUGAAAUGCGUAGAUAUUAGGAGGAACACCAGUGGCGAAGGCGGCUUACUGGACUGUAACUGACGUUGAGGCUCGAAAGCGUGGGGAGCAAACAGGAUUAGAUACCCUGGUAGUCCACGCUGUAAACGAUGAUNACUAGGUGUUGGGGAGCUAUAGCUCUNCGGUGCCGCCGCUAACGCAAUAAGUAAUCCCCUGGGGAGUACGUUCGCAAAAUGAACUCAAGGAUUGGCGGGAACCNCCCANCGGUGGAGCUGUGUUUAUUC